AGUAAGUCGUUUACUUUUCACUUGUCAUUUAUGAAUCUGACUCCUCAGAACUCGCACUGCGUUUGGUUUGAUUUUGCUUCCAGGUUAUUUAUUCCACGUAUAGUCACUGAUUCAUGUUCAGCAGAGACGGAGGUGUCCAGGAUCUCAGGUUCACGCUACGCCCUGACCCCCCCCUGACCAAAGCAGGGGGGGGGGGGG